UCCGUAGGCGGGCAGCUCAGUCAGUGGUGAAAGUUUGCAGCUCAACUGUAAAAUUGCCAUUGAUACUGGUUGUCUUGAAUUAAUGUGAAGUGGUUAGAAUAUGUAGUGUAGCGGUGAGAUGCAUAGAUAUUACAUGGAAUACCAAUUGCGAAGGCAGAUCACUAACAUUAUAUUGACGCUGAUGGACGAAAGCGUGGGGAGCGAACAGGAUUAGAUACCCUGGUAGUCC
rnacentral:rRNA from 1 species